rnacentral:rRNA from 1 species
UGUAAGCGUAUACCAAAGUUGUUGCAGUUAAAACGCUCGUAGUCGGAAUUUGGCAGUUCCGGAAGUGUGUACGUCGUGUGCGCACUUUGCGGGGACUGCUUUUGUGGUCUUGCGUAGGAUGAGGCACUUUCAUUAGUGAACGUCCUCACGCAACCACUCUUUACUGUGAGAAAAUCAGAGUGCUCAAAGCAGGCAUUUGCCGUGAAUGUAUUAGCAUGGAAUAAUAGAAUAGGACUCGGUUCUAUUUUGUUGGUUUGUUGGGACUGAGUAAUGAUUAAGAGGGACAGUUGGGGGCAUUUGUAUUCCGGCGCUAGAGGUGAAAUUCUUAGAUUGCCGGAAGACAAACUGCUGCGAAAGCGUCUGCCAAGGAUGUUUUCAUUGA